CCUACGGGAGGCAGCAGUGGGGAAUAUUGGACAAUGGGCGCAAGCCUGAUGCAGCCACGCCGCGUGUAGGAAGAAGGCCCUCGGGUUGUAAACUUCUUUUAUCAAGGACGAAACAAAUGAAGGUACUUGCUGUAUAAGCUAACGUUAACUACGUGACAGCAGCCGCGGUAAUACGUAGGAGGAGCGCGUUAUCCGGAUUUAGUGGGAGUAUAGGUCGGGUAGGCGGGGCGGAAAGUCAGAUGUGAAAACCAUGGGCUCAACCUAUGACCUGCAUUUGAUAAUGUUGAGCUUGAGUGUUGUAGAGGCGGGUAGAAUUCCGGGUGUAGCGGUGAAAUGCGUAGAGAUACGGAGGAACACCAGUGGCGAAGGCGGCCCGCUGGACGAAGACUGACGCUGAGGCGCGAAAGCGUGGGGAGCAAACAGGAUUAGAUACCCUUGUAGUC
rnacentral:rRNA from 1 species